rnacentral:rRNA from 1 species
GCAGGCUGCAACUCGCCUGCAUGAAGUUGGAAUUGCUAGUAAUCGCGAAUCAGAAUGUCGCGGUGAAUACGUUCCCGGGCCUUGUACACACCGCCCGUCACACCAUGAGAGUCGAUAACACCCGAAGCCUGUGAGCUAACCGCAAGGAGGCAGCAGUCGAAGGUGGGGUUGAUGAUUGGGGUGAAGUCGUAACAAGGUAAC